rnacentral:ncRNA from 1 species
AGGAGCCGUAUGAGGUGAAAAUCUCAUAUAUGGUUCUGUUAUAGUGAUGGUCACAGUGAUGUUAUCAUCGACUAUGAU